AACGAACGCUGGCGGCGCGUUUAAGCAUGCAAGUCGAGCGGCAAGGGCCUCGGGCCCUAGAGCGGCGGACGGGUGAGUAACACGUGGACAAUCCUGCCCCCCGGCCCGGGAUAGCCCAGGGAAACCUGGAUUAAUACCGGAUGAGACGGGACCUGCGAUGGCGGGAUCCGGGAAAGGCGCUACGGCGCCGCCGGGGGAUGAGUCUGCGUCCCAUUAGCUAGACGGCGGGGUAACGGCCCACCGUGGCGACGAUGGGUAGCCGGCCUGAGAGGGUGGACGGCCACAUUGGAACUGAGACACGGUCCAGACUCCUACGGGAGGCAGCAGUAGGGAAUCUUCCGCAAUGGACGAAAGUCUGACGGAGCAACGCCGCGUGAGUGAAAGAAGGUUUUCGGAUCGUAAAACUCUGUUGUCAGAGAAGAACAAGUUGGAGAGUAACUGCUCCAGCCUUGACGGUAUCUGACCAGAAAGCCACGGCUAACUACGUGCCAGCCGCCGC
rnacentral:rRNA from 1 species